AUGACGCGGGCAGUGAAAAGAACGCUUCUUUGCUUUGCAGCACAAUCUUCCUCACACCUCGACUCGAGUCAUCUAGCUUCUCCCCCCUUUCCAAAUGCAUUGUGUACAGGUUCACUCCUAGUAAUAUACUAUAUAGCAGUAAAACAAAGAAGAAACAAUGGUGACCAAAGCAAGGCAAAAAAGAAUCGAGCUCAGCAAGGAGACGGCAAUGGACGGACUAGCUCACCACCGGAUCUCAUACCAGAGGCAGCAGUGCUGGUAGUACAUACAACAAUGCUAUACACCACCGCCCAGUUGCCGUUGCCUUUGCCGCCGACGACGACGGCGGCGAAACCGCGGUGCCGUUCCUGGCCCCGCCGCGCAGCGCGGGGGGCGAGGACAGCUUCGUCGGCGGCGUCCGCGCGCUCUCGGGCGGCUCCGGCGGCAUCGAGCUGGCGGCCGCCGGCGGGGGCGCCAGGGCCGCGGCGACGACGGCGGCCGAGUCGGCCCUGGUGA
rnacentral:rRNA from 1 species